rnacentral:rRNA from 1 species
UACGUGAGGGGCUAGCGUUGUCCGGAAUCAUUGGGCGUAAAGCGCGUGUAGGCGGCCCGGUAAGUCCGCUGUGAAAGUCGGGGGCUCAACCCUCGGAUGCCGGUGGAUACUGUCGGGCUUGAGUACGGAAGAGGCGAGUGGAAUUCCUGGUGUAGCGGUGAAAUGCGCAGAUAUCAGGAGGAACACCGAUUGCGAAGGCAGCUCGCUGGGACGUUACUGACGCUGAGACGCGAAAGCGUGGGGAGCAAACAGG